UUUAAUACUUAAUAUUAAUAGGGAUGCAAAAAAUUGUGUAUAAAAAAAAGUUUAAGAAUCUCCAGGUUCUAAGUCGAAAAUCCAGGACAUUCCAAGACAUUCCAGGUUUCUCCAGGUUGGUGGGAACCCUCUCCCACUAAAUUAGCGGAUAGUAAAAUUUAAUCCUAAACUUCAAUCAGACAUUUCUUAAUGUUCUCACUUUGCUUUCCCACACCAGAAAGAAAAACCAGGAAAUGACAAUCAAUAGACAGAAGAUCCGACCCAUCAAAAUAUUUACAUUAGCCUUCACUCAUACUGAAGCUAGUGCAACCUUGCAUAACCAUCAUUACCAUAAUCCAACUCAGUAAAUAUAAAAAAAUGAAUGAGCCACCCUACACAUCAUUUAAUUCAAUAGGAAAGCUUUAUCGGUGAGACAUCAUUAGUGAAAUAAAAUCUUAAAUUUGUUGCAAUACAUGCAGCUACCCUGACUUACCGGAUUCUGACUGAAAUGUCCAAAAUUUGAAUGUCAAACAUAACCUGUAAGAAAGUGACAGUGACAUGUUUACUUUAAAAAAAUCUAUAAUGUUUAGUGUGUUUGUUUUCUCUUAAUGAAUUAUGGGAAAUAAAUUAACAUAAUUAGUUCUUAUAUGUCCCAGAACACUUUCAAUCCUAAGAAUGGAUGAGGACAAAUAGCUAUGAUAUUUUCCAUUACACAAGACAUUUCCUGACUGCUGCCUGACAAGACACAGACAAUACUGAUUGAAUUGAACAACUGUGGAGAUUUAACAAUGAAAAGACAUACAACAACAUCAACAAUAAAGACAUGAAAAGGUAUAGUGCGACAAGUUACCUGUGUACCAAAUUAAGAAUUAAUUUAAUACUCAUAGAAGGCAUUUAUUAUUUAUUUCAUGCUAUUACUCUUUUGUAUUAUACAGUGCAUUAACUUUGUAUUUUAUUUAUACAGAAUAAAUGGUUAAAUUAGAUAGAA